AUUGAACGCUGGCGGCAGGCCUAACACAUGCAAGUCGAGCGGAUGAAGGGAGCUUGCUCCUGGAUUCAGCGGCGGACGGGCGAGUAAUGCCUAGGAAUCUGCCUGGCAGUGGGGGAUAACGUCCGGAAACGGGCGCUAAUACCGCAUACGUCCAGAGGGAGAAAGUGGGGGAUCAUCGGACCUCACGCUAUUAGAUGAGCCUAGGUCGGAUUAGCUAGUUGGUGGGGUAAAGGCCUACCAAGGCGACGAUCCGUAGCUGGUCUGAGAGGAUGAUCAGUCACACUGGAACUGAGACACGGUCCAGACUCCUACGGGAGGCAGCAGUGGGGAAUAUUGGACAAUGGGCGAAAGCCUGAUCCAGCCAUGCCGCGUGUGUGAAGAAGGUCUUCGGAUUGUAAAGCACUUUAAGUUGGGAGGAAGAGCAGUAAGUUAAUACCUUGCUGUUUUGACGGUACCAACAGAAUAAGCACCGGCUAACUUCGUG
rnacentral:rRNA from 1 species